rnacentral:rRNA from 1 species
CUGCUGCCUCCCGUAGGAGUCUGGUCCGUGUCUCAGUCCCAAUGUGGCCGUCCACCCUCUCAGGCCGGCUAUGGAUCGUCGGUUUGGUGGGCCGUUACCCCGCCAACUGCCUAAUCCAACGCGGACCCAUCCUAUGCCGCCUCAGCUUUUCACACCGUACCAUGCGGUACUGUGCGCUUAUGCGGUAUUAGCACCCGUUUCCGGAUGUUAUCCCCCUGCAUAGGGCAGGUUCGUCCACGGCGUUACUCACCCGUCCGCCGCUAACG